rnacentral:pre_miRNA from 1 species
GGCUAAAAUUUGAAAUACAGUAGAUUAGUAGGCUCAGCUGAUGCUACUAUUCUACUCUACUUCAAAUUUGGGCCA